UGGGCAACUGGGCUUGCAGUUGGUAAAUUGCAGACCAAAUUUUAUACACAGCAACAAAACAUCUUGCUACAGUGGGGUUCAUUGUCUUGGCCACAUUGUGACAACGACAAAUACCCACAUUGGGAAAUGCAGAGGAAUGGGGGAAGAUCCCAUCUCAUUAUAAAAACAAAAACGAAUACAAUAAAUUUCAUACAGAAACAUGU
rnacentral:misc_RNA from 1 species